UACGGAGGGGGCUAGCGUUGUUCGGAAUUACUGGGCGUAAAGCGCGCGUAGGCGGUUUGUCAAGUUGGGGGUGAAAUCCCGGGGCUCAACCCCGGAACUGCCUCCAAAACUGACUGACUAGAGGCCGAGAGAGGUAAGGGGAAUUCCUAGUGUAGAGGUGAAAUUCGUAGAUAUUAGGAAGAACACCAGUGGCGAAGGCG
rnacentral:rRNA from 1 species